AUUGAACGCUGGCGGCAGGCCUAACACAUGCAAGUCGAACGAGUGGCGCACGGGUGAGUAAUGUCUGGGAAACUGCCUGAUGGAGGGGGAUAACUACUGGAAACGGUCGCUAAUACCGCAUACUAUCAGAUGUCCCCAGAUGGGAUUAGCUCGGUGGUGGGGUAUCGGCUCACCAAGGCGACGAUCCCUAGCUGGUCUGAGAGGAUGACCAGCAACACUGGAACUGAGAAACGGUCCAGACUCCUAGGGGAGGCAGCAGUUGGGAAUAUUGCACAAUGGGCGCAAGCCUGAUGCAGCCAUGCCGCGUGUAUGAAGAAGGCCUUCGGGUUGUAAAGUACUUUCAGCGGGGAGGCGUUACCCGCAGAAGAAGCACCGGCUAACGCCGUGCCAGCAGCCGCGGUAAUAC
rnacentral:rRNA from 1 species